rnacentral:rRNA from 1 species
AACAAGGAUUCCCCUAGUAACGGCGAGUGAAGUGGGAAGCUCAACUUUGUAAUCUGGCAGCUUCGCUGUCCGAGUGUAGUCUCGAGAAGUGUUUUCCGCGCUGGACCAUGUAUGAGUCUGUUGGAAUACAGCGUCAUAGAGGGUGAGAACCCCGUUCAUGACAUGACUUCCAGUGCUUUGUGAUACACUUUCGAUGAGUCGAGUUGUUUGGGAAUGCAGCUCAAAAUGGGUGGUAAAUUCCAUCUAAAGCUAAAUAUUGGGGAGAGACCGAUAGCAAACAAGUACCGUGAGGGAAAGAUGAAAAGCACUUUGGAAAGAGAGUUAACAGUACGUGAAAUUGUUGAAAGGGAAACGCUUGAAGUCAGACGUGCGUAGUGCCUUCGGGUGCUGUUGCAGGCCAGCAUCAGUUUCUCGAGCCGGAUAAAGGUAGGAGGAAGGUGGCAGCUCCGGCUGUGUUAUAGCCUCCUACUGAAUACGGAUCUUGAGACUGAGGAAUGCGAUUCUAGGAUGCUGGUGAAAUGGCUUUAA